rnacentral:lncRNA from 1 species
UGUGCUGAAACCCUCGACAGAGCCGAGGAAAAGGAAGAUUAAAAUUGCAAAAGCAACCAUGAAAACACCAACAUACUGGUACUCAGUAAAAAGGAAUGAUGUUGCACCUGCGGCAUCAUUAGAUUCAAAGUUAUUAUCAGGGAGGUUACAUUAUAAAAGUUAACAAUCAGGUAAGAGUUUAUUUAAGCUCUUGGCAUCAAUAGAUUCAAAGUUAUUAUCAGGGAGGUUACAUUAUAAAAGUUAACAAUCAGGUAAGAGUUUUUUUAAGCUCUCUAUGAGACACACUGAUUAUGCAGCAACAACACAAAAUCUUCUUUACCAAAGAGUGACAUUGCAAUGUUCCAAAUAAAUUAUCACCGAGAGAAACUAAAGGUAUUUGCAGUAUAUAAGUUGACCAGAAAGCCAUUUAUCAAUUGAACUUUAAACAAAUCUAGCAAUUCAUACAACAGGAUAAAAGAAAAGCCUUUUCAAUCAUUCGACAUCCAUAAUAAGGCCAGUUGGUAUCACUGCCAAAAUUUAACUGUUCAAUCUUACACUGAACAAUGAACAUUGUUUUGUCAACAUUUUAAAAUUAUAUUUUUUGGGCAUCCAUUUUAAAGUAAAUCAACAAUGUAUAACUGAGACCAAAUCACUCUUUUUGUAUUCCUUUUUUUCUGUGUUUUCUUUUUUUUGCUAAUGAGAAAAGCCAUAAUGGCUUAUCCGCAGAAACGCAAUCUCAUUGGCAGAGUGCAAAAUGUUCAGAUCACAUAACUUGAGACAUAAAAGUCCUCUAAUUUCUUUUCUUAUAAUUUAAUGUUCUGAAACAGCCAGCCAGGAUGCUCAAUGUAAGUACAAAACUAGCCUUGUGGAAAUCAGGGCAAUUUGAUCCCUCUAAACCUAAAAUCAACCUUUUUUUAAAUGAAAUUAUUAAAAAAAUGCUCAGAUAUAAUAUUUAUAUCCAUAAGAUACUGGAAAAAAAUUAAAUUUGUUUAUCUUAACUUAUAAAAAGCAAAAAGACUUUAAGCAUCAAGUAUCUCAAAAUCAGCAGCCUUGCCACUAAGGUGGCCAUCUAUAUUAAACAACUGACACGUGAUGGUGAUGAUAGCAAAUUACCAAGCCAACACGGCAUGUUAGAUCUACUAAUGUCAGAACAACACCGACAGGGCAAGUGUUUAACAGCAACUAGGAAUUUCUUAUUUUUUUUAGGUAUGAAAGGUAGCUUGAGAUAGUACCCAGUUUGCAAUUAAUUAUGCCCUUCAUAAUCACAACCACCAAAGAAAGUUCCAUUAUAAUUAAAGACCAAAAGUAAAGUCCAAGUCUAGAAAACGUGUGACAAAACCAAGAAAGAAUUACAUAAUUUAAUAGAGUUGAAGCCCUAUGCGUGUAUGGUGUAAAAAAAUAUUUACACAACCAAAUUACAACAAAAAUACUAACAGUGAAAAUUUAUAUGAUAAAAAUUAAUUAAUAAUCUAGUAAGAAUGAUAACUACCUUAUUAUUAUAGGUUAAACUGAUAGUGAAAAAGAAUAGACAAUAUAAAAAAUAUUACAUAAUUAAAUUAUAUAUAAGC